AAGGUUCUGCUGGAGUUAUUUCCGCAGCCUGGGAGGCUACAAUUCAUCUUUGCUGUGAUCUGGGAGGCUACAAUCCAAAGUUUUGUUUUUCACUUAACUGGCUCCCAGGUCAACAAGAUAUUUGCGGAAAAUGCAUUUGAUGCUGUGAUGCACUUUGCUGCAGUUGCUUAUGUGGGUGAAAGCACACUGGAACCCCUUAGCUGUUUGAUAUAAUGAGGGGACAAGGCAGGCAUGGCCAGCGACUGGUGGGAAAGCAUGCGACAAGUCAGACAUUGCCUGUCGAUGCAACUUCGACUCCUACAAGGCGAGAGCUAUUUGGAGCGUUAUUCGGUUCGUUUGCAGUGAAUAGAACGCGAUGCAUUAUUGGAAAAGCAGCUGUGUCCGUAGAGAUAUCAUAUUUCGAACAUAUUUUUAUAAUUAUAUACUCAUACAUACCAUUAUGUACUAUCUUAUACAUACCAUUUAUCUAUUUUUAUAAUUAUAUA